rnacentral:tRNA from 1 species
GGGCGGCUGGUGAGGGUUGCCGUGCCGCCGUGGGCGGUGACCACGGCAUGGACGAUGGCGAGGCCGAGGCCGGUGCUUCCGGUGCUGCGCG